rnacentral:rRNA from 1 species
AGAGUUUGAUCAUGGCUCAGGGUGAACGCUGGCGGCGUGCCUAACACAUGCAAGUCGAGCGAUUCUCUUCGGAGAAGAGCGGCGGACGGGUGAGUAACGCGUGGGUAACCUGCCCUGUACACACGGAUAACAUACCGAAAGGUAUGCUAAUACGAGAUAAUAUGCUUUUAUCGCAUGGUAGAAGUAUCAAAGCUUUUGCGGUACAGGAUGGACCCGCGUCUGAUUAGCUAGUUGGUAAGGUAACGGCUUACCAAGGCGACGAUCAGUAGCCGACCUGAGAGGGUGAUCGGCCACAUUGGAACUGAGACACGGUCCAAACUCCUACGGGAGGCAGCAGUGGGGAAUAUUGCACAAUGGGCGAAAGCCUGAUGCAGCAACGCCGCGUGAGCGAUGAAGGCCUUCGGGUCGUAAAGCUCUGUCCUCAAGGAAGAUAAUGACGGUACUUGAGGAGGAAGCCCCGGCUAACUACGUGCCAGCAGCCGCGGUAAUACGUAGGGGGCUAGCGUUAUCCGGAAUUACUGGGCGUAAAGGGUGCGUAGGUGGUUUCUUAAGUCAGAGGUGAAAGGCUACGGCUCAACCGUAGUAAGCCUUUGAAACUGGGAAACUUGAGUGCAGGAGAGGAGAGUGGAAUUCCUAGUGUAGCGGUGAAAUGCGUAGAUAUUAGGAGGAACACCAGUUGCGAAGGCGGCUCUCUGGACUGUAACUGACACUGAGGCACGAAAGCGUGGGGAGCAAACAGGAUUAGAUACCCUGGUAGUCCACGCCGUAAACGAUGAUUACUAGGUGUUGGAGGAUUGACCCCUUCAGUGCCGCAGUUAACACAAUAAGUAAUCCACCUGGGGAGUACGACCGCAAGGUUGAAACUCAAAGGAAUUGACGGGGGCCCGCACAAGCAGUGGAGUAUGUGGUUUAAUUCGACGCAACGCGAAGAACCUUACCAAGUCUUGACAUCCUGCGACGAUGCUGGAAACAGUAUUUUCCUUCGGGACGCAGAGACAGGUGGUGCAUGGUUGUCGUCAGCUCGUGUCGUGAGAUGUUGGGUUAAGUCCCGCAACGAGCGCAACCCUUACUGUCAGUUACUACGCAAGAGGACUCUGGCAGGACUGCCGUUGACAAAACGGAGGAAGGUGGGGAUGACGUCAAAUCAUCAUGCCCUUUAUGACUUGGGCUACACACGUACUACAAUGGCGUUAAACAAAGAGAAGCAAGACCGCGAGGUGGAGCAAAACUCAGAAACAACGUCCCAGUUCGGACUGCAGGCUGCAACUCGCCUGCACGAAGUCGGAAUUGCUAGUAAUCGUGGAUCAGCAUGCCACGGUGAAUACGUUCCCGGGCCUUGUACACACCGCCCGUCACACCAUGAGAGCCGGGGGGACCCGAAGUCGGUAGUCUAACCGCAAGGAGGACGCCGCCGAAGGUAAAACUGGUGAUUGGGGUGAAGUCGUAACAAGGUA